AGAGGAAAGUCCAUGCUCGCACAUCCUGCGACGGAUGUAGUGAUUAUGCCAAGUGAGAAAGUAAGCUUGGGCAGUGCAAACUGACGGCUGGCGAUUUUCCUAAGGGCAACUAUGGAAAUAGCCUGUAAAAGUGUCAAAGAGACGAGUCUGGCAGAAAUGUCAGAGUGGAACGUGAUAAACCCCAUAAGCGAGAAACCCAAAUUUGGUAGGGGAACCGGUAAUAGCGAACUGAAGCGAUUUAUCGGGCGCGCAAGCGCAGAUAAAUGAUUGUCCAAUACAGAACAUGGCUUAUU
rnacentral:RNase_P_RNA from 1 species